UUGCUCUGCUGUUGCUGUUGGAUCUGUGCUCCUUGAUGUGCUCACAGAGCUCCUUCCAGUUGAUGCUCCAUGUUGUGACACGUCAUGUAAAACUGCAUCUGUUAUGCUGAAACCAGAACAUAAGAGAGACACUCUUGACAUGAGGAAUCACAACACGAGGGAACAGCAGGAACGCUGAAAGCGCAGCGCGGUUCCUUCCUCCGCGAGCCCAGCCCUGGGAGAGACGAGGUGUUUAUUAACAGAGCUUCCACUCCAUCCACAUUUCCUCCCUGAUGACUUCUCCCCUCCCUCCAGGCCCAACCCAGCCCUUUCCACAGGGGAAAAACUCAUGGGAACUCAGACAUGCUCCAUCCAAGAGAAGUUUUCCCCCCAGUGGAUACCCCAGGAUCAGGCCUGGGAGGUUUUCCCGCCUGUGAAGUAGAAAAUAGACUCAGAUUAAGCGAGCAGACUUGUUAUUUGACAGUUUAUAAAAUAUUUUAGUAUCUUUUUGGCAGUAGCAGUUUGAAUGUUGGCAAAUGUACACAUUGCUUGCAGUUACAAAACCUUGUAAUGAGUAUUUCCCACUGUAAUAGCAGUGAGCUGAAAUUUGGAUAAACCACUUAGACUUGUGAACUCUGACAUGCCUGGUAACUAUGUCUUUGCAAAAAGAAUUUUGUCAAGUAUUGGA